rnacentral:rRNA from 1 species
AUUGAACGCUGGCGGCGUGCCUAACACAUGCAAGUCGAGCGGUAACAGGUGUAGCAAUACAUGCUGACGAGCGGCGAACGGGUGAGUAAUGCUUCGGAAUCUGCCCAUGUAGUGGGGAAUAACCAGCCGAAAGGUUGGCUAAUACCGCAUACGACCCUUGCCCACAAGGCAAAGGUGAAAGCAGGGGAUCGCAAGACCUUGCGCUAUUGGA